GAAACCUGGUUAUUGUUUACAUAUUGACAUAAGGAGAUACAAGUAUGUAUCAAAUUGACAAGGGAUGGAUUGUGAUUGCUACUCUUGCUUUUCAAUAUAAGAUCUAAAAUGGAAAGCAUAGGUCCAGGCAUGGUGGUACAUGCCCUUGAACCCUAGGAGAUGAGCAUCAAGCAGAUCUCUGAGUUCAAGUCCAUCCUGAUACAGAACAAGUUUCAGGUAAAGAAAAGAUUAGGUCUAGGCCUGUGGACACUGUGUUCCAGAGACAGCCAGAAUUGUACCUUGUGUUGCAGCUGAACUUGGUCACAUGUAAGAAUCACCCAGGUGGUACUGGUUUUGAAGGCAUAACAGUGUCAUGAGGAGCAGCUGAGGCUUGGACCAAUGAAGAGAGCAUAAGUGAGACUAUCAGUGAAGCCUAGUUGCAGCAGAAGAACCCAACAUAUUGAAGAUGCCAGUCCAAUGGGAUGAGCAGAAAGAACAGCCCAGUAGAGUGGAGUCAACAAGAGCUUAGAGUGAUACAGAGGUCAGAGCUAGAGAAGUGACCUUAUCUCUCUGGAGGACUGCAGAAGAUCAUGUGUGGAUCCAAGACAUUGGAACAAGAAACUGUAACACUGAGGUUACCUUCGAGACCCCAAGAUCUUUGAGAUGUCAGAGCUGUGGGGUACCUGCUCAGGAAAAACCAGCCAAAGAGAAAGAAUUGUGCUGCAGUGAACACAGCAGAAAGGAGUUGGAGAUCUGAAGAAUGCUUUAACAUCAGACAUAGAGAUGCAGUUUGGAGAUUUCCAAGCUGACUUUUGGUUUUGUUUUGGUCCACUAUUUCCUCAUGAUGACAUUUAGGAUUGUUAAAGUCUAUGUUUUGAAGUGGUAGUAUAUGAUCUGCUUUUAGAUUUUCUUUUUUAGGGGAUUACAGUUACAUUGAAUGAAUCUCAGAAGAGACUUUGACCUUUGGACUUUUAACAUUUUUGAGAGUGGAAUAGAUGAUGGGGACUUUUGAGGUUGGACCUCGUGUAUUUUUCAUUAUGCAUGUUUAAGUAUGGUCCUCAUACAUUCCUGUACUCCAACAUGGUUAUGGGGGCCAUUGAAUGGAAUGUGGGAGUUUGAAUAUGCUUGUCACAGGGAGUGACUCUAUUUAGUGGUGUGAGCUUGUUGGAGGAAGUGGAUAUCUCUGGGGGUGGACUCUGAAGCUCCACCAAGUGCAAAACAGACCCUCCUAUUCCCUCCCUGGAAGACAGUUUCUUCCUGGCUGCCUUUGGAUCAAAAUGCAGAACUCUCAGCUCCUCCAGCAUCAUGUCUGCCUGCAUGCUGCUGCUGUGCUUCCUGCUAUGAUGAAAAUGGACUAAACCUCUGAAACUGUAAGCCAGCCCCAAUUAAAGGUUUGCUUUUAUGAGAGUUGCCUUGGUC
rnacentral:lncRNA from 1 species